rnacentral:rRNA from 1 species
AUUGAACGCUGGCGGAAUGCUUUACACAUGCAAGUCGAACGGCAGCACGGGUGCUUGCACCUGGUGGCGAGUGGCGAACGGGUGAGUAAUAUAUCGGAACGUACCCAGUAAUGGGGGAUAACUAGCCGAAAGGUUAGCUAAUACCGCAUACGCCCUGAGGGGGAAAGCGGGGGACCGUAAGGCCUCGCGUUAUUGGAGCGGCCGAUAUCUGAUUAGCUAGUUGGUGGGGUAAAGGCCCACCAAGGCGACGAUCAGUAGCUGGUCAGAGAGGAUGAUCAGCCACACUGGAACUGAGACACGGUCCAGACUCCUACGGGAGGCAGCAGUGGGGAAUUUUGGACAAUGGGCGCAAGCCUGAUCCAGCCAUUCCGCGUGAGUGAAGAAGGCCUUCGGGUUGUAAAGCUCUUUCGCAAGGGAAGAAAACUUACCUUUUAAUAGAGGGUGAGGUUGACGGUACCUUGAUAAGAAGCACCGGCUAACUACGUGCCAGCAGCCGCGGUAAUACGUAGGGUGCGAGCGUUAAUCGGAAUUACUGGGCGUAAAGCGUGCGCAGGCGGUUUUUGUAAGUCAGAUGUGAAAUCCCCGGGG